rnacentral:rRNA from 1 species
GUCGUCCCCGGGUGAGUCGAGUCCUAAGGCGAGGCCGACAGGCGUAGUCGAAUGGAUGAACGGGUUGAUAUUCCCGUACCGGUGUUACACCGUUCGAACUGAAUCUGAGAGUACUAACCUUCGUUAUUCUGGUUGAUUGCCUUUCGGGGUUUUCUUCUGGUUUAGUGUUGGGACUGUAUCGGUAGUAGGUUAGCGUGGGAGUGACGCGGGUAGGUAGCCGGCUGCGGAGGUGGUUUUCCGUGGCUAAGCGUGUGGGCUGUCCUCUAGGUAAAUCCGGGGGAUGUUUAAGCUGAGGCGUGAUGGGUAGGCUGUAAGGCUGAUUCCGGUGAUCCUGCUUGCCGAGAAAAGCUUCAACGUGAGGUGUGAUUCCGCUCGUACCCUAAACCGACACUGGUGGUCUGGUAGAGUAUACCAAAGCGAUCGGGCGAAUCCUGGCCAAGGAACUCGGCAAAUUACUCCCGUGCCUUCGGCAUAAGGGAGACCCCUGAUGGUGAUGUUUUUUACAAGCGGAGCUGUUGGGGGUGGCACAAGCUAGGGGGUAGCGACUGUUUACCAAAAACACAGGAGCGUGCGAAGGCGUAAGCCGCUGUAUACGCUCUGACGCCUGCCCGGUGCCGGAAGGUUAA